rnacentral:rRNA from 1 species
ACGAACGCUGGCGGCGUGCUUAACACAUGCAAGUCGAACGGUGAAGCGCCUUCCUUUUUGGUGGGUGUGGAUGAGUGGCGAACGGGUGAGUAACACGUGAGUAACCUGCCCCCUUCUUCUGGAUAACCGCAUGAAAGUGUGGCUAAUACGGGAUAUUCUGGGUCUGUCGCAUGAUGGGUCUGGGAAAGAUAUUGUUUCGGUGGGGGCUGGGCUCGCGGCCUAUCAGCUUGUUGGUGGGGUGAUGGCCUACCAAGGCGGUGACGGGUAGCCGGCCUGAGAGGGUGGACGGUCACACUGGGACUGAGACACGGCCCAGACUCCUACGGGAGGCAGCAGUGGGGAAUAUUGCACAAUGGGCGCAAGCCUGAUGCAGCGACGCCGCGUGAGGGAUGGAGGCCUUCGGGUUGUGAACCUCUUUCGCCAGUGAAGCAGGCCUGCCUCGUUUGUGGGUGGGUUGACGGUAGCUGGAUAAGAAGCGCCGGCUAACUACGUG